rnacentral:rRNA from 1 species
AGAGUUUGAUCCUGGCUCAGGAUGAAUGCUGGCGGCGUGCCUAACACAUGCAAGUCGAGCGGUAACAGGUCUAGUUUACUAGAUGCUGACGAGCGGCGAACGGCUGAGUAACGCGUAGGAAUGUGCCCCAAAGUGAGGAAUAAGCAUCGGAAACGGUGUCUAAUGCCGCAUAUGAUCUUCGGAUUAAAGGAUUUAUCCGCUUUGGGAGCAGCCUGCGUACGAUUAGAUAGUUGGUGAGGUAAAGGCUCACCAAGUCGACGAUCGUUAGCUGGUCUGAGAGGAUGACCAGCCAGACUGGAACUGAGACACGGUCCAGACUCCUACGGGAGGCAGCAGUGAGGAAUCUUCCACAAUGGGCGAAAGCCUGAUGGAGCAACGCCGCGUGCAGGAUGAAGGCCUUCGGGUUGUAAACUGCUUUUAUAAGUGAAGAAUAUGACGGUAACUUAUGAAUAAGCACCGGCUAACUACGUG